UGAUUAUAGCUUUCACUCUUUAAUUACCUU
rnacentral:piRNA from 1 species